rnacentral:rRNA from 1 species
AACGGAGCUUAGAGAGCUUGCUUUUUAAGCUUAGUGGCGAACGGGUGAGUAACGCGUGAGUAACCUGCCCUAGAGUGGGGGACAACAGUUGGAAACGACUGCUAAUACCGCAUAAGCCCACGGUACCGCAUGGCACUGAGGGAAAAGGAUUUAUUCGCUUUAGGAUGGACUCGCGUCCAAUUAGCUAGUUGGUGAGGUAACGGCCCACCAAGGCGACGAUUGGUAGCCGGACUGAGAGGUUGAACGGCCACAUUGGGACUGAGACACGGCCCAGACUCCUACGGGAGGCAGCAGUGGGGGAUAUUGCACAAUGGGGGAAACCCUGAUGCAGCGACGCCGCGUGGAGGAAGAAGGUUUUCGGAUUGUAAACUCCUGUCGUUAGGGACGAUAAUGACGGUACCUAACAAGAAAGCACCGGCUAACUACGUGCCAGCAGCCGCGGUAAAACGUAGGGUGCAAGCGUUGUCCGGAAUUACUGGGUGUAAAGGGAGCGCAGGCGGGAAGACAAGUUGGAAGUGAAAACCAUGGGCUCAACCCAUGAAUUGCUUUCAAAACUGUUUUUCUUGAGUAGUGCAGAGGUAGAUGGAUUCCCGGUGUAGCGGUGGA